UACGAAGGGUGCAAGCGUUGUUCGGAAUCAUUGGGCGUAAAGCGCGCGCAGGCGGAUUGAUAAGUCAGGUGUGAAAUCUCGGAGCUCAACUCCGAAACUGCGCCUGAAACUAUUAGUCUAGAAUGUCGGAGGGGGCAGGGGAAUUUCACGUGUAGGGGUAAAAUCCGUAGAGAUGUGAAGGAACACCGGAGGCGAAGGCGCCUGCCUGGACGACUAUUGACGCUGAGGCGCGAAAGCGUGGGGAGCAAAC
rnacentral:rRNA from 1 species